CCGAAAUUCGCCCAUACAGAGUUUGAUCCUGGCUCAGAAUGAACGCUGGCGGCCUGCUUAACACAUGCAAGUCGUGCGCGAAGGUGGCUUCGGCCACCGGAGAGCGGCGAACGGGUGAGUAACACGUGGGUAAUCUGCCUGGGAGCGGGGGAUAACCUGGGGAAACUCGGGCUAAUACCGCAUACGUUGAUCGGCAUUCGUGCUGGUCAAGAAAGCUGGCCUCUACUUGUAAGCUAGCGCUCCUAGAGGAGCCCGCGUCUGAUUAGCUAGUUGGUGAGGUAAUGGCUCACCAAGGCGACGAUCAGUAGCCGGCCUGAGAGGGUGAUCGGCCACACUGGGACUGAGACACGGCCCAGACUCCUACGGGAGGCAGCAGUGGGGAAUAUUGGACAAUGGGCGCAAGCCUGAUCCAGCAACGCCGCGUGGAGGACGAAGGUCUUCGGAUCGUAAACUCCUGUCAGGUGGGGCGAAGGGCACGGGGCAAAUAGUCCUGUGCCUUGACGGUACCACCAGAGAAGACGCCCGGCUUACUCCGUGCCAGCAGCCGCGGUAAUACGGAAGGGGCAAGCGUUAUUCGGAAUUAUUGGGCGUAAAGGGCGCGUAAGCGGCUCGAUAAGUCAAGGUGAAUCCCUCGGCUCACUGAGGAACUGCUUUGAACUGUAGAGCUGAGUCCGGAGGGGUAGCGGAAUUCCAGUGUAGCGUGAAUGCGAGAUAUGAGAGGACACAGUGGCGAAGGGCUACUGG
rnacentral:rRNA from 1 species